GAAACGGGGUCUAAUACCGGAUAAUACUCUGUCCCGCAUGGGUGGGGGUUGAAAGCUCCGGCGGUGAAGGAUGAGCCCGCGGCCUAUCAGCUUGUUGGUGGGGUAAUGGCCUACCAAGGCGACGACGGGUAGCCGGCCUGAGAGGGCGACCGGCCACACUGGGACUGAGACACGGCCCAGACUCCUACGGGAGGCAGCAGUGGGGAAUAUUGCACAAUGGGCGAAAGCCUGAUGCAGCGACGCCGCGUGAGGGAUGACGGCCUUCGGGUUGUAAACCUCUUUCAGCAGGGAAGAAGCGCAAGUGACGGUACCUGCAGAAGAAGCGCCGGCUAACUACGUGCCAGCAGCCGCGGUAAUACGUAGGGCGCAAGCGUUGUCCGGAAUUAUUGGGCGUAAAGAGCUCGUAGGCGGCUUGUCACGUCGGAUGUGAAAGCCCGGGGCUUAACCCCGGGUCUGCAUUCGAUACGGGCUAGCUAGAGUGUGGUAGGGGAGAUCGGAAUUCCUGGUGUAGCGGUGAAAUGCGCAGAUAUCAGGAGGAACACCGGUGGCGAAGGCGGAUCUCUGGGCCAUUACUGACGCUGAGGAGCGAAAGCGUGGGGAGCGAACAGGAUUAGAUACCCUGGUAGUCCACGCCGUAAACGUUGGGAACUAGGUGUUGGCGACAUUCCACGUCGUCGGUGCCGCAGCUAACGCAUUAAGU
rnacentral:rRNA from 1 species